GACCUGGCCAGUUCACUGCCCCUACCCCACAUUAGUCUCUCCUCAUAGGUACAGGAGGCUGAGAGAGGAAGACCAUGUCUGCAGACAGAAGUGAGAAUAAGCCAGAGAAAGUACUCCCUGAUUCUCCUAAAUCCCAGUGCUUCCACAGAGGAGUGGCCAGGUUAGGAGCAUGGCCUCAUUAGUCCCCAGAUCUGGAGCAAAUAGACAAAUCUUUGCUGUGUGCCCUCAGACAGGCCACCCACCCCUGGGCCUCAGGCUCCUCUCAUUCUCUGUGUAUGGGUGCUAGGGUCACGUUGAAGCCCACUGCACCCCUGCCAUCAAGCUCCCUGCCCCAGGACAGCUCAGGGUCCAUUUAUUCUGUCUCCUACUGGGGCUUGGCCCAGGGCUCUGCCCUCACGGUGGCCCUGAUGUUCAGGAGCAGAGUGAACCAGCUUGACCUUUCAGAUUCAGGUCUGAUAGUGAUAGUAUUUUUUGUUUAGAUACAUGGCCACCAGGUAGUAUCUGAGCCGUAUUCUGGGAUCUUCUGAGACCUAGGUCAGCAGAACUCUAUUCUUGGGAAUUAGGCUCUUUCCAGAGGAUUCUAGGAUAUUCCUAGCAAAGAUGAGGCAUGGCCAAAAGUUCGGGAAGCUGGCCAGGAACAGCAGUUCACAUCUGUAAUAUAAACAUUUUGGGAGACCGACAAGGGACAAUUACUUAAGGCUAAGAGUUCAAACCAGGCCAGGCAAUGUAGCAAGACCCUGUCUCUACAAAUAAAACUUUAGCUGGGCAUGGUGGCAUUCACCUGUAGUCCCAGCUACUGAGAAGGCUGAGGUGGGAAGAUGACUUGAGCCCACGAGCUUCAGGUUGCAAUGAGCUAUGAUCAUGCCGUUACAUUUCAGCCUGUGUGACAGAGUCAGACCUUUACUCUGAAAAAAAAAAAAAAAAAAAAAAAACCACCACCACCAACAAAAAACUCUGGAAACCAGGAAAAGAAAUACUAGUGAAGAGAAGGAGAAUAUGAAAAGGCACUGAGAAAUUAUGGAAUUAUGGGAUCCUGGGUAGUGUGGAGAGGGAGGGAGGUGGGGUACUCAUUGGACAGUGGAGCUGCCUUACACAUCUGGGAGACUGAAGGAAGGGCAGAUGUUUGCUCUGGGCCUAGUAUGUGCCAGGUAUUAUGGGCAGGUCCUUCCCUUUUUUUUUUUUUUUUUUUUUUGAGACAGGGUCUUACUCUGUCACCCAUGCUGGAGGAGGGCAGUGGUGCGAUUUCGGCUCACUGCAGUCUCAACCUCCCUAGGCUCAGGUGCUCCUCCAACCUCAGCCUCCUGGGUAGUUGGAACUACAGGCAUGUGCCACCAUGCCCAGCUAAUUUUUAUAUUUUUUGUAAAGACAGCAUCUUGCCAUGUUGUCCAGGCUGGUCUUGAACUUCUGGGCUCAAGCAACCUGCCUGCCUUGGCCUGCCAGAGUGCUGAGGUUAUAGCUGUGAGCCACUGUGCCUGACCGGGAGGUCCUUUUCUUGUUUUCUUUGUUUUUGAGAUGAA
rnacentral:lncRNA from 1 species